rnacentral:misc_RNA from 1 species
CUGUGGACUGUGGUAGCGGCACCGGUCUGCAAGCACACGGCGGCACCAGCCGUGACCGGCGCGGCGGGGGGCUCCGUCGCCUCCCUGCUCACCUUUGCCAUGCUCCGCGCGCGACCGCCUCCGUCGCUGGCUUGUGUCUUCGUUACCUGUGUCUCUCCGCUUCACGCAGCCGUUGCGCUCUCCCAGCACGCGCGCCGCCGGCGCCCGGAGCCUUGCCUGCGAUGGCGUGCGUUUGCCACCAUGAUGCGCGCUCCGCGUUGGCGCAAGAUGACCCUACAGAGAGCUCGUCACAAGCCAGUGACUGCACUGGUGCAACGCAGUUUCAGGUACGCCUACGACCCCGCCCCAAUAAACUCGGACUCGGUCACCGGGCUUAUGGCAUAA